ensembl:miRNA Gm25847 predicted gene, 25847
CAUGGGUGUGUGUGUGGUGUUUGUAAGGGGAUAUAUAUAUAUGUACAUAUAUAUGUACACACACACACAUACACACACACACACACACACACACACACACAC